AGGGGAGGAACAGCGCAUUCAAACACACACAUAUUUCAAAACCUAAACACACGUGAACACACUGCUUUGCUCAAGUGUUUCCAUACUCACGCUCAGGGUCUGCACACUCACACUCAGGUCACAAACAUAAACAGCGAUCUCAGCUUCAGUUCAGUCUUGAACAUAGAUAUUCUGUUCUACAUACUAUCACUGCCUGACAGCACAAGUUCAAGCUCUCAUUCUCCAGCAGCCCCUGCUCUCCUGCAAGUUGUUAGCUGCAACUCUUCUGCUCUCUGGAUCAAUGAGGUUGAUCUAACGCUGCUUUUGGGAAGAAGCACAAGAACAUCUUCAGGAUCUGUUUGAACCAAACACCUACCAAGAAGAGACGGUGUCCAGCCUCUGGAACAAGUUGAAAACCCAAGAAUUGUUGUUACAGGAUCAGGAUGAUAAUUCGCCUUGGACGUCUCACCCCUGGAUAUUCCCGUCUAUUGCAGUUGCAGGUGUCUGGAGAGUUGGCAUCAGAGCCCCAGGACCGAUUAGUAAACAACUUCGCUUUUCUCUUGGCCCUAAUGGGCCUUGGCCUAUCCUAUUACAGUGUUCGGCAAAUGGUCCAGAAGUCAAGCAUAUCACAAUCUCAUGCAUAUCAGAGGGACUGAGUCUGUGAACCAGGCAAAAUCUACGAAGAUUCGGGAUAGCUGAACGAAUGCUAUGGAGGGUCAGGGAAAAACCUAAUAAAAUUAGUGAUUGCUAGUUAGAUGGGUUAAAAGACAAGGGAUGCUUUGACAGAACUGUCUUUUCUACAUAUAGCCCAGUGUGCAACAAGAGACAGUCAAUUGGUGGGAGAAAGAGUUGCUAUACCCAACUCUUACAGCUUAAUCUAAAAUCUAAAAACACUACUGUUCAGGUAGUUUAAGUUAAGGCAGAGGCAACACGAAUCUCUGCUAGAAAGUACUUUUAUAUAAGAAACAGGAGAACGCUGAAAACACAAUUGAUCAAUAUAUUAAAAACUUGAAUUCUACAAAUCUUUUACUUUGUAAACUAACAGCAAAACCAUCUCCUAGACCCAAACAUGGCUUUGGGGGUUUAUUUAUGUACUACCUUUAAAAGACUGCACAUUAAUAACUAUGAGGUUUGCCUUCUGUGUACAGGUCAUUAGAAAAUAUGCAUUAAUAGCAAUGGAAAUAAUGCAGUCCAGGGGGCUGGAUAUAGGGGAUCACUGUGCAAGCACCAACCUUUAGAGCCAGUUCAUAAAUGACCCCAGAAAACCAAGGGUAACUUUAAUAGACUUAUGAAGCAAACUGGGUCAGUGAAUCAUCAGGAAGUUUUACUGACAAUGUACUGUUUGUUUAUUCUGCACUUGGUGCUUGUUUGUUACUGAAGCAACUGUUGUUCUCAGAGUCAGACGCAUAUUACAGUACACCUUUAACCUACUGAGAUAAUAUGUAAACUGUAUGUUAAAAAUAAUGUAAACAAAGGGAAUGCAUCCUGGUCUAUAUUUCUAUCAUAAAUGCAAAUAACAAAGCUAUCAUUGGACACUUUCUCAGUCUGAUAAUAUGCUUCUUUUUAAACAGACUAAACAUAAUAAAGAUAUACAUGUUUCAGAAGA